UAUGAUAGAAUUAGGGCGCGCGCUGUCCGCUGUGUAUGGAUGUCCUGAUUUGCAUGCCGUCCGAGGUGCUCCGCGGCAGCGCCGGCGCGGUGGGGGUCGAGCCGUCGAGGAAGGACCGGCGAGAAGAACGGAGAGUGUCGCGGAGGCGGCUGUGCAUCGUGCACGGUUUGUUGCUGGGCUUCUUGGGCUGAGAUGCUGCUGGGCUUCUUGGGCCUUACCUACGAUAGAUAUCGGAAGGCGCCCUUUAUCGGCAAAAAAAAAGUAUUUUGCCCGUCGUUACUUCACUUCCGGUGUUCCCUCCCCUGCUGGCGGCUGCCGGGGAGCGCAGCCGCACCAGCCAGCCAUGAAGCGCUUCUUCCAGCCCGUACUCAAGGACGGAUCCCCCGCCAAGAAGAGGCCCGCCGGAGCCGCGACCUCUGACUGCGUUGAUGGCCGCGCCCCCACCGCGGCCGACGCCGGCGGGGACGGCCCUCCCGGCGAGGAGCCACGCAGGUUCAUCACGUGGAACGCCAACAGCCUUCUGCUCCGGAUGAAGAGCGACUGGCCCGCGUUCUGUCAGUUCGUCGCCCGCCUCGACCCCGACGUCAUCUGCGUCCAGGAAGUGCGGAUGCCAGCAGCUGGUUCCAAAGGGGCACCUAAAAAUCCUAGUGAGCUAAAAGACGACACAACGUCGUCACGCGAAGAAAAACAGACAGUGCUGCGUGCUUUGUCGAGCUCACCUUUCAAAGACUACCGUGUGUGGUGGUCCCUUUCAGAUUCAAAAUAUGCAGGCACAGCUGUGUUUAUGAAGAAGAAGUUUGAACCAAAGAAAGUGUCAUUCAACUUGGAUAGAACAUCUACUAAGCAUGAUGCAGACGGUCGUGUCAUCAUUGUGGAAUUUGAAUCAUUCUUGUUGCUAAACACAUAUGCUCCAAACAACGGGUGGAAAGAGGAGGAAAAUUCAUUUCAAAGAAGAAGAAAGUGGGAUAAAAGAAUGUCGGAGUUUGUUCAACAAGUAGACAAGCCCUUAAUCUGGUGCGGAGACCUGAACGUUAGUCAUGACGAAAUCGAUGUCAGCCAUCCUGAUUUUUUUAGCGAUGCUAAGCUCAAUGGAUAUAUCCCUCCAAAUAAAGAGGACUGUGGACAGCCAGGAUUCACCCUUGCAGAGAGACAGCGCUUUGGCAAUAUAUUGUCCCAGUAUGUGUAAACUAACAUAUUUCAGCAUUUUUUUCCUUCUCCUUGAUAGAGCACUCCCCCAUUUCUCAAAUGGAGGCCAUCCUUGAACAAAUCUGGAGCGUAUUAACAUCUCUAUUUAGACAAGCAACAAAAAAGUGCCCUGAUGAGCAUCUCAAAUGUGAAUCUUGUGGAAUUGUGGUCAUGGAAACAUAAAAGAUUAUUGUUUCAAUGCUCAGUAAGGUAAAUGUUCAACAUGACUGGGGGCAGUGUCAAGUUCUCAUAUCAUCAUAUAGAUAUUGCUGGUACAACCUCUAAAUUUGUUUAUAAGUACUUUACUAGUCAUUGUAAAUUCAGAAUGGACCAAGGUUUUUGCACACACAAAAAGGAUGAAGUUCAAACUAGCUAGAACACAUACUGUCAUCUUUGUCUGGAAUUUUAUAGGACAGGCCUGAAAAACAUACCUAUAAACCAAUGAAUGGUGAAUAAGACAUUUUAGUGGAAAUAUAGAAGGCUAAAGUUAGUUGCAUAGAAGCAUUAAUCUUUAUAGUCUUGAAUACCACCUUAUGGACUAACAUUUGGAUGUAUAGGGGAAAGCUGGUAGAUGCUUACAGAUACCUGCA